CCUUCGGGGGUACACGAGUGGCGAACGGGUGAGUAACACGUGGGUGAUCUGCCCUGCACUCUGGGAUAAGCCUGGGAAACUGGGUCUAAUACCGGAUAUGAGCUCCUGUCGCAUGGCGGGGGUUGGAAAGGUUUACUGGUGCAGGAUGGGCCCGCGGCCUAUCAGCUUGUUGGUGGGGUAAUGGCCUACCAAGGCGACGACGGGUAGCCGGCCUGAGAGGGCGACCGGCCACACUGGGACUGAGACACGGCCCAGACUCCUACGGGAGGCAGCAGUGGGGAAUAUUGCACAAUGGGCGAAAGCCUGAUGCAGCGACGCCGCGUGAGGGAUGACGGCCUUCGGGUUGUAAACCUCUUUCAGCAGGGACGAAGCGAGAGUGACGGUACCUGCAGAAGAAGCACCGGCCAACUACGUGCCAGCAGCCGCGGUAAUACGUAGGGUGCGAGCGUUGUCCGGAAUUACUGGGCGUAAAGAGCUCGUAGGCGGUUUGUCG
rnacentral:rRNA from 2 species